GUUUCUAGGUUAGAGGUUAACUGAGGUGGGGAGACUCGAUUGAAAUGUGGGAGACACCAUUCUGUGGGCUGGGGUUGUGGACGGAGAAAAAGGGGGGGGGGAGAGCUGGGCGUGCAUUCAUCUCUCUCCGCUUCCCAGUAUGAAUGCCAGGUGAUGAGCUACCUUAAGAUCCUCCUGCCGGGACUUCUCUGCAUCGACGGUUUGUUGCAGUAACUGGAAAAGUAAGGAAUACAGCAUCUAAACAGCCGCGCCCAAGCAAGCUGAGCCGGGACUGGAGGAGAGAUCCAGGCCACCCAUUGGGUUAGAGGCUUCAGCGAUAUGAAUCCAGGGAUCCGAAGCCAUUACAGUCAACUGAAUAUCUUCUAGUGACAAGGACAAGAGGAAAAAGACAGAUCCCUGGGCUCAAGGAAGACGUGAACUCCCACAUCACUGCUAUGUCCCCACACUGGAUGUCACAUGCAGCAAGUGUUCAUUUACCCUGCAGCUGCCUCUGCUAUGCAAUGCAUGCCUCGUUUGGGCUGAGCCUGUGACCUUUACUCUGUUCUUUUCCAACACCAGCACACUGCAUGCAUGCGGGCCUGAGGGCUGAAAUCACAGGGAAUGAAGACUCAGCUAUGGAGACUGCAUGGGGGACAGAGACUCGGCUAUAUGGAGCACAUGCCCCACCCCAGCCUGGGUCCUGUGCAGCAAGGGGCUACACAUCUCCCUCUACAACUGCUACAGUGAACUUCCGUAUGGAAACAAAAUCUCCUUUCCUGUCACUGUUCUCUGCCGCACCCUGCCAGUGCUGUCCUCAGGGAUCUGCACACAGUCAGAAGGUACGGCCAUUCUCCCCGCGCACUGGAGACCCCUCCCAAGACCCUGCAUCGAAACAGCACCCCGAGACACAGCCUUUCCUCCAUGAUGGGUCAGACCACCCAAGUCCAAGAGGCAUCCAAGACUCAAUUAUUGAAGUAGGUCACCCACACCUUUGGUGGCCUCCUAACACCUGGUUUGUGACAGUAUGCUUCUGAGUUACUGAUAACGAGGCACUUCUGGCCUCUACAGUUGUCCUUUGAAGACCACAAACUAGCUGUGCUGGGUUGGGUUGAGGCACUGCACAGAGCUACCGGCAAGGCUCAGAGGCCACGGGGCACAGUGGGGCUCCCGGAAACGGGCUGGGGCUUACCUUCUGUGACUUGAGCUCUUUGGUGAGCAUCAGCACCUGCUGCUCCAAGGCCGCCACCUUCUCCUGGGCUGUGCGGCUCCGAGCCAGUCCAUCGGAAAAGAAUGGGAAGGUGUUGCUUUGCCGCUUGGGUUUCUGCGUGGGACCUGAGGGCACAGAGGACCUGGGUGCAGACUUGGCAGGAUCCUCUGGCUCUUUUUCUGCUUGAGGAGAGAAACGCGGACGUCAGGAUGGGCAGACCUACUGGUGCCUUAUCCAUAUCUUCAGGCAACAGCGUCUUUCUGCAGUUUCCUCGUGAACUGGAAAGGGGGCAAUACACUUUGCUUAUUUAUGAAUGCUUACUAGGGAUUCUGCGGGAAAGAUGGCAUUCUGGGGACAGAUGGCAGUGACAGCCACAUAAUAGUGUGAAUGCACUCAAUGCCACUGGAUGGUGUAAUGGGAAGUGAUAAAAUGGUAAAUU
rnacentral:lncRNA from 1 species